AUUGCUUUUCGGCCUUUUGGCUAAGAUCAAGUGUAGUUUCUCUUCUUAUCAGUUUACAAUGGAUAACAAAUACCUUUGACUCCAGGUAGUUUCU
rnacentral:snRNA from 1 species